rfam:Streptomyces albolongus strain YIM 101047, complete genome.
GCGAGACGCAUGCCCCGGCCGCCGGGCGCGCCCGAUAAACUGGUCCACGGCACGCGCCGAGCGCAGCUCUCGGCCGUACCACCCAUGAUCAGCCAGCAGCCGCUGCAACCCCAGGGAG